rnacentral:rRNA from 1 species
CAGCCGCCGCGGGAAUACGUAGGGUGCAAGCGUUAAUCGGAAUUACUGGGCGUAAAGCGUGCGCAGGCGGUUCGCUAAGACAGAUGUGAAAUCCCCGGGCUUAACCUGGGAACUGCAUUUGUGACUGGCGGGCUAGAGUAUGGCAGAGGGGGGUAGAAUUCCACGUGUAGCAGUGAAAUGCGUAGAGAUGUGGAGGAAUACCGAUGGCGAAGGCAGCCCCCUGGGCCAAUACUGACGCUCAUGCACGAAAGCGUGGGGAGCAAACAGGAUUAGAUACCCGCGUAGUCCCUGUCUCUUAUAA